GCCAGGGUGGCGGAAUUGGUAGACGCAGCGGACUCAAAAUCCGCCGGUAGUGAUACUGUGAGGGUUCGAGUCCCUCCCCUGGUACCA
rnacentral:tRNA from 2 species